rnacentral:rRNA from 1 species
ACGCUCGACACCUACGGGAGGCAGCAGUGGGGAAUAUUGGGCAAUGGACGCAAGUCUGACCCAGCAACGCCGCGUGAAGGAAGAAGGCUUUCGGGUUGUAAACUUCUUUUGUCAGGGAACAGUAGAAGAGGGUACCUGACGAAUAAGCCACGGCUAACUACGUGCUAGCAGCCGCGGUAAUCUGAGCGGGCUGGCAAGGC